UUUGUGUGAUAAAUGUUUACUUGAUAUGACAUGUUGCAUGUACAAGUGAGCAUAUGGUAUCUCAUAUUUCUAAUUUGGACACUACCCAAACAUAAAUCUGGUUGGUAGGAUCUUCUCUGUUCUUUCUCUUGCUAAACAUAUCAAGUUGCUUGUGGUUGGCUGCUGGCUAGCUAAUUGAAGGAACCAUAAUGACAGUUCUGGUAGAGUUUCAGUAGAAAACUAAGAAUGAUUCAUCUCAUAUUUCCAGAGGGCUAAUUAUUGUGAUGGGUGCGCCUCUUUUUUUAACUAAUUCUUUAUGAUAUAUAGCUUCUCUUAGUUAUCGUGAUGGAUGAUAUCAUGACAUGACUAACCAAUUCAAUCCUCCCCAGUUUCUAUUCAAUUCACAUGGUGUAUUCCUGACUAACCAUUCCUAUCCGUUGUUAAAAUUUUACAAUUCCCGACUCAGUUUGUAUGAUUUGAUUCCAUUUGCACCCUAAUGAUUUGAAUCUAUGGGGUGAAUUGAAUGUACUUGAAUUAUGACUAGAUCUUACUAUUUAAAACUGAAUCUUAUGCUACCAUAUGAAUCUAUCGAUUCCACCAAUUCUUUUUUUAGAAUCAUACGAUGUGAUAUGAAUCUAUCAAAAUUUAAUAUUUCACUUCACUUCUACCCAGAAAAAGGUCACUCACUUUUACCCAGAAAAAGGCUAGGGAAACAAAUGAAGUGUAUUAAUUUUAAUAUUAAACGUCAAAUUGUAAUUCUUUCGAAUAUCGAUUCACAAGUUGAAGAUUUUGAUUCUCAAAGCUCAAUUCACAAAUCUUGAUUCAUAAAAUUAUUGGAACUCAAUAGUUUUCACCAAGAUGGUAUACGAAUUUAUGUUGUCCUUUAAUUAUAGUUUAUUUGAUUGCAUGAAUGAUUUUCUAUCAUAUUUAUAAUUUUCCCCAAAAAUUAG
rnacentral:lncRNA from 1 species